rnacentral:tRNA from 1 species
GCGGGAGUAGUUCAGUGGUAGAACUCCAGCCUUCCAAGCUGAGAACGACGGUUCGAUUCCGUUCUCCCGCUCCA